CUCACUCUCACUCCCCAGCCCAAUAAAAUCGUUGAACAGAGUAAUCAGAGCCAAAGUUGAACAAACCCACUGGUUUCUCAAUAAAUCGACCAUAAUCUUUCAAUUGGGUCCUCUGGGUUUGUUGUUCUUCCAAUGGAAUUGAGACACUGUUUCUGAUUGCUCUGUUUUGACUCUGUUUUUCAUGUAGAGCAGAGGCUUCUUUGGCCUUCUUGAAGAGGCCUUCGAGUCUCUCUGAGAAAUGUAGUUGUUUCUUGCCAUCAUCAGCCAUGUGGGUUCCGAGCUUUUUCUCUGACAUUGAGCCUCACCAGAUUCAAUUGCAGCAAAUUCUGGGUGUUUAGGAAGAGAGUGAGAUGGCGGAGAGAGAGUAUGAAGUGUGUGACUUUCAUAGGCUUGGAAAUUGAAAUACAAAACAUGCUAGGUGUGGGGUAGUGAGUUUGUAACGAGAGUAAAGAAAUCGAAGAUAGACACCCACGACGAUCCUUUGGGCAACCUCAACCCGUCAUCCAGUUAGCUGGUGAUACCCUACUUGCGAUCACAAUGACAGUAAGACCCGCCGCCGGAGUUAUUUCCGGAAAACAGCUCUUCGACGGUCAAGUUAGACCUCAGUAAUCUUAGAGAGAGAGAGGGAGAGUGUUGUAUUUUUCCAGUCACAUUGCACAUACCUCUCUGAGAACCACCCUCUUCCCUUUUGUGUUCCAACCCAGCGUGCGGCUUGAUGUGCCAGUCGUCCCAUCACUCAACAGGCAUGCAUUAGCGCGUGUCGAUACAUGUCAACCGUUGUGUCAGUGAGUAGGUUGAUGACCUCGCCGUACCCUUACAGCAUGGCUGGUGACUAAUGAUCAACUGUCGUCGUCUCUAUCGAUGACAUGGGGGCUGAUAGAAGGUGUUCUAUCACGCAAGUCACUUUCUGUCCCCUGACACGCCUCGGAAAUCACGCUGGUUGUCUUCCUUCGUCUAAGUUUCUUAAACGGUCAUUGUUCCGAACUUGCUGACCAGCAGUACCUCGAAUGCAACGAAAGCUUUGGCUCGGACAGUACCUUUAUUCGCGAUUGCACCAAGCUGCGGCACAGAAGGUCUUCAAGCUCGCAGGUCUCGGCAGCUCGGCAGAGACCACUGCCCUAGCAAGGCCUACGUUCCAUCAACUGUGAACCGAACUCCGGCGCAGGGUCGACCGAGCUUGCUCACUAGCUACAGUCCGUCCGAGGUCCCUUUCCUUAAUAAGGCUUGAUGAUGUAAUCGUGUCUUUUGACCACUCACAAUAGGAUUAACUUUUUCAUUUACAUUUGGAAACCCAGAC
rnacentral:lncRNA from 1 species